rnacentral:rRNA from 1 species
UACAGAGGUCUCAAGCGUUGUUCGGAUUCAUUGGGCGUAAAGGGUGCGUAGGUGGCAAGGUAAGUCGGGUGUGAAAUCCCGGGGCUCAACCCUGGAACUGCACUCGAUACUGCCAUGCUCGAGUACUGGAGAGGAGACUGGAAUUUACGGUGUAGCAGUGAAAUGCGUAGAUAUCGUAAGGAAGACCAGUGGCGAAGGCGAGUCUCUGGACAGUUACUGACACUGAGGCACGAAGGCCAGGGGAGCAAAC